AGCACCACAACAGGUGGAGCCUGCGGUUUAAUCGGACUCAACGCCGGGAAACUCACCAGAUAAGACAGCUGAAUGAUAGUCGGGCUGAAGACUCUACUUGACUAGCUGAGAGGAGGUGCAUGGCCGUCGUCAGUUCGUACUGUGAAGCAUCCUGUUAAGUCAGGCAACGAGCGAGACCCACGCCAACAGUUGCCAGCUCGUCCUCCGGGAUGGAGGGGACACUGUUGGGACCGCCUCUGCUAAAGAGGAGGAAGGAAUGGGCAACGGUAGGUCAGCAUGCCCCGAAUUAUCCGGGCUACACGCGGGCUACAAUGGUCAGGACAAUGGGUAUCGACACCGAGAGGUGGAGGCAAUCUCCUAAACCUGUCCUUAGUUCGGAUUGUGGGCUGCAACUCGCCCGCAUGAAGCUGGAAUCCGUAGUAAUCGCGUUUCAAAAUAGCGCGGUGAAUAUGUCCCUGCUCCUU
rnacentral:rRNA from 1 species